GGCCCCGUGGUGUAGUGGUUAACACGUCGGCCUGUCACGCCGAAGAUCGUCGGUUCAAAUCCGAUCGGGGUCGCCA
rnacentral:tRNA from 1 species